rnacentral:tRNA from 1 species
GCCUGGGUGGCUCAGUGGUUGAGCAUCUGCCUUUGGCUCAGGUCAUGAUCCUGGGGUCCCGGGAUCGAGUCCUACCCUCAGGCU